AUUGAACGCUGGCGGCAGGCCUAACACAUGCAAGUCGAGCGGUAGCACGGGGGAGCUUGCUCCCUGGGUGACGAGCGGCGGACGGGUGAGUAAUGUCUGGGAAACUGCCUGAUGGAGGGGGAUAACUACUGGAAACGGUAGCUAAUACCGCAUAACGUCGCAAGACCAAAGAGGGGGACCUUCGGGCCUCUUGCCAUCAGAUGUGCCCAGAUGGGAUUAGCUAGUAGGUGGGGUAACGGCUCACCUAGGCGACGAUCCCUAGCUGGUCUGAGAGGAUGACCGGCCACACUGGAACUGAGACACGGUCCAGACUCCUACGGGAGGCAGCAGUGGGGAAUAUUGCACAAUGGGCGCAAGCCUGAUGCAGCCAUGCCGCGUGUAUGAAGAAGGCCUUCGGGUUGUAAAGUACUUUCAGCGAGGAGGAAGGCAUUGUGGUUAAUAACCACAGUGAUUGACGUUACUCGCAGAAGAAGCACCGGCUAACUCCGUGCCAGCCGCCGCCGUAAAAC
rnacentral:rRNA from 1 species